rnacentral:lncRNA from 1 species
UAACCCAAGAGGACAGACGGCUGCUCAGUGAGUCUGACCACACCUCAGGAAACGGCUGUGCCACAGGAUGGAAACACACAUGCCUCUCCACAGGGAGCAGAGCCACGCAGGACCUCAUGAACUCUAUUUUAAAAAACUCUCAAGUAAAAAAAAGCAAGUCAUGGAGAAGAACGGGAAUAACCGGAAGCUUCGGGUUUGCGUUGCCACCUGCAACCGAGCCGAUUACUCCAAACUGGCCCCCAUCAUGUUCGGCAUUAAGACGGAGCCUGCGUUCUUCGAGCUCGACGUGGUGGUGCUGGGCUCUCACCUGAUCGACGACUACGGAAACACAUACCGCAUGAUUGAGCAGGACGACUUUGACAUCAACACCAGGCUACACACGAUUGUUAGAGGGGA